GCACAGUGGUGUAGUGGUUAGCACAGUUGCCUUACACCUUCAGGGUUGGGGGUUCAAAUCCCUCUGUGCU